UACGAAGGGUGCAAACGUUGCUCGGAAUCAUUGGGCGUAAAGCGCACGUAGGCGGCUUCGCAAGUCGGAUGUGAAAUCCCUCGGCUCAACCGAGGACGUGCAUCCGAAACUGCGAGGCUUGAGUACAGAAGAGGAUCGCGGAAUUCCCGGUGUAGAGGUGAAAUUCGUAGAUAUCGGGAGGAACACCAGUGGCGAAGGCGGCUCACUGGCCCGAUACUGACGCUGAGGCACGAAAGCGUGGGGAGCAAACAGG
rnacentral:rRNA from 1 species